rnacentral:rRNA from 1 species
GGAUGGCGCUGCUAUAAUGCAGUCGAGCGGACAGAUGGGAGCUUGCUCCCUGAUGUUAGCGGCGGACGGGUGAGUAACACGUGGGUAACCUGCCUGUAAGACUGGGAUAACUCCGGGAAACCGGGGCUAAUACCGGAUGGUUGUUUGAACCGCAUGGUUCAAACAUAAAAGGUGGCUUCGGCUACCACUUACAGAUGGACCCGCGGCGCAUUAGCUAGUUGGUGAGGUAACGGCUCACCAAGGCAACGAUGCGUAGCCGACCUGAGAGGGUGAUCGGCCACACUGGGACUGAGACACGGCCCAGACUCCUACGGGAGGCAGCAGUAGGGAAUCUUCCGCAAUGGACGAAAGUCUGACGGAGCAACGCCGCGUGAGUGAUGAAGGUUUUCGGAUCGUAAAGCUCUGUUGUUAGGGAAGAACAAGUACCGUUCGAAUAGGGCGGUACCUUGACGGUACCUAACCAGAAAGCCACGGCUAACUACGUGCCAGCAGCCGCGGUAAUACGUAGGUGGCAAGCGUUGUCCGGAAUUAUUGGGCGUAAAGGGCUCGCAGGCGGUUUCUUAAGUCUGAUGUGAAAGCCCCCGGCUCAACCGGGGAGGGUCAUUGGAAACUGGGGAACUUGAGUGCAGAAGAGGAGAGUGGAAUUCCACGUGUAGCGGUGAAAUGCGUAGAGAUGUGGAGGAACACCAGUGGCGAAGGCGACUCUCUGGUCUGUAACUGACGCUGAGGAGCGAAAGCGUGGGGAGCGAACAGGAUUAGAUACCCUGGUAGUCCACGCCGUAAACGAUGAGUGCUAAGUGUUAGGGGGUUUCCGCCCCUUAGUGCUGCAGCUAACGCAUUAAGCACUCCGCCUGGGGAGUACGGUCGCAAGACUGAAACUCAAAGGAAUUGACGGGGGCCCG